GGAGAAAUUCAGCAACAGAGAGAGAUCUACCUACACGUCAGACUAACAGGCAAAAGAAGCCUAAAGGUCCUGCAGCCCGACUGUUGGACCAGGGUGGCCUUCCAUAGAGUUCUGCUAGGUGGACAAUGGAGAAGGAAAACUAAAGAAGGGGCAUAAAUGGAGAAUGAGUUAGAGCAAAGUUCAGUGUGAUGAAAAAAAAUGUACCUGGGAAGCAGAACUCCAAACUUCUAGUCCUGGAUAUGACCCGAAUCAGCCACAUAAUCUUGGGCAAUCCAUUUUGCCUUUCUAGGACUCUGUUUUUCAUGCAUAAAACAAGAGAGUAAGACUGGGUCAUCCCCAGGCUUCACUUCAGCUCUGGGUCUUCCACAGCUGAUCUCAGGCUUGGAAAGAAAGAGACUGCUGGUCUGAUCAUCCCUCUUGUAACUGCUCUGGCCACAGUUCUUUCUAUCCAGCAACUCGAGUUAUUCCAAGAGUUCUUAUAUUCCCAACAGCCAAUGACUAUAGCCCAGACUAGCACCUCUAGUCUGUAAGCUUCUUGAAGACAGUAGAGUACCAUCUGCCCCCUGAAUAUAGAUAAGAGCCUAGGAGUGCUUAGCUCACUUGGCAGAUACUUUAAACAUUUCCUCAAUCUCCAGGAAUCAGAGCUCCAAACAAUAAUGACCAGAAUAAUCGAUAUUCACUUUUCUUUUCUUUUUUUUUUUUUUUUUUUGAGACGAAAUUUCGCUCUUUGUUGCCCAGGCUGGAGUGCAGUGGCAUGAUCUUGGCUCACUGCAACGUCUGCCUCCCGGGUUCAAAUGAUUCUCCUGUCUCAGCUUCCCAAGUAGCUGGCACCCACCACCAUGCCUGACUAAUUUUUGUAUUUUGUGCUAAAUUUUGUACUAAAUUUUGUAUUUUUAGUAGAGGUUUCACCAUGUUGGCCAGGCUGGCCUCGAAUUCCUGACCUCGUGAUCCACUCACCUCGGCCUCCCAAAGUGUUGGGAUUACAGGUGUGAGCCACCGCGCCUGGCUGAUAUCCACUUUUCAUCAACAAUCAUACUUACCAAAACUUAGCAC
rnacentral:lncRNA from 1 species